rnacentral:tRNA from 1 species
CAAGAAAUAGUUUAAUUAGAAUGUUAGUUUUGGGUACUGAUGGUGGAGUUGUUAUGCUUCUUUCUUGA